GGAAAGCUGCAGUUCCGCUGUUAUAACACAGGGAGCAGCCUGGAGAAUUUUGAGCUGCGUCACAGAGCUCUGAGAGAGUGAGUGAGUGUGAGAGAGAGAGCAAGCUCCCUCGAUAGGUCUACUAGCAACAGCCCUGCUGCAGCAAGGGGGGAGAGAGAGAGGCAGCAAGAGAGAGAGAGAGACAGAAGUAAUAACAUCAUGGACUGGGCUCCUGGAACCGGCCAGCUUAAUUUUUAAAAAAUUUAUUUUGGCUUAAUUGAUAUUGGAGGGUUCGCCCAUUGACGAUGCUGGAGACAUGAUGCGUUUAAUCCCGCGGGGAGGGAGGGUGGGCAGACGUCGGAAGGGUUAACGGGAGGAAAAUUCUGGAACAUUCUAUUCUGCGGCGCUGCACAGCGAGCGAACGAAGGGCUACGGAUUGCGCAGAUGUUUAACGGGCAGAGGUCUUCGGCUCGGGGUCCGUCUUUCCCACUGUCAGUUAUGCAAAGUAACAAAAAGCAAGGGAAGAAUGUGACAAACUCUUGGAAGUGGUUUGUUAUGUUAUUUAUGCAAAUAACACAGCCAGAACCCAGUAUUUCAUAGCUUGAAUUACUUCAGUGACAGGUGAGUUUCCUGUUGUUGCAAAAUAAGCCACACUGACAUGUCAGUCAGGCCAGAGGAAAGUCAUAGACUUUUAUGCAUCUUUCUCUUCCUUCUAAGGAUAUUAAGUUCUUGUUAUUGACCAACAGCACAAGUCUGGGAGGGACCUGGAAAAGAGGGUAAGGAGGCCAAGACAAACAGGAAGACAUUUUUUUCAUAACUAUUUUUUGCUAUCUUCGCACCCUCCCCUGCCUCCUCGAACUGAUUGACAAUGAAGAUUUCAGUUCUGCUCUGACGUUCUGUGAACAAACCAUUUGAGCUUGGGUCAUCUUGCUCAGAAAGCCAUCCAGAUUCUGAAGAGGAGUAGUAACUUGCUUGAUCAUUCAGCAGGGAGAGUUAUUCCUUAUCCCUUUUUCAGGUGAAGUGACUUCAAGAAUAUGGGGGUAUAAGCAUUUAAUGUAUAACUUACCAACAUCUAAAGAGCCAAGUACAGAUCAGAUGUAUUGUAUUCUCUUUCUUGAUUUCUUUUAUAGUAGUUUGUCUCCUAAAGUGCAUCCUGAUUUUUAUAUAAUGUAGAUACAUGCGCACACACCAUUCCAGCACUGAUUUCAUUGGGUCUUAAAGAGCACCUGCCUUGCUCUCUUGCUUCCAGCUCAGUGUCUUAGAGCAGUAAAAAGGAGGGAGUAGACCGUUUCCAAAGAGGGAGAAGUGGUAGGAGACAGGAGGAGGGAACACAUCAAGCCAGAGGGGAUAACUGAUCUGCUCCCCUCUUUCCCUCCUCGUGUCCAUCUCUGUUUUUCACCUCUCCCCCCUCUUCCAAGGUUCACGGUGAAUUUAAAAUGCUCUUACUGCAGUUGCCACUGCCCCUGCUGACUUGCUGAUCCCUCGCCCUGUGGAUUUGUCUCCCGUGGAGUCUUCUUGCUUCCUGCAGUGCCAGGUCCUCAGAGCAGCGGAACGGCAGUAACAAUAUGUGUCUGUUCGUCUUACUGCAGAGCACACAAUACAUAUACGUAUAUAGGCACAGUACUGCAGUUGCAUUUGUACAGGGCAGCAGCUGGGUUAAGAGCUGUUGCUUGGGAGAACGAAAUCGAUCUUGGAAUAACUGUGCUCGUGCCCAGAGAGAGGUACCUUCCACAGCAGGGUGGACUAUCAGACCACCUCGUGCAAGGUCAUUCAGCUGUCUCACCAUCAGCCACUAACAGCUGCAACUUCCCUUCACUUAAUUUCAACCCAUCUCUCCUUUUAAAGCCUGUGUCCUUGCUCAAGAAAAACUCCCACUGCAAACUUUUGAACCAAGUGGGAAGAUUGUCUCGGCCUGUUCCUGUCCUGUGAAUAGAUAAUGUUGGAGUAUGGAAGGCUGUCUGUCGCUUUUCAUCAGCAUUAAGUUCACUGAAACAAAAAUAGUAAUGGCUAUCCUAUCUCUGACUUUUCACGUUCAGCCUAGGUUGAUGAGGCUGCUCGCUGAAAGAGGCAUGGUGAUCUAAUGAUUGUAGCAGAAAAGACCAGGAGUCGGGUCACACAGUGGUUGAGUGAGGCAGAGGGGGACAGAGUGCCACACUGAGUGGACAUGAGUUACACAUCUCCUCACAUGGAAAUCUCAACCCAAGCUUCAGAAGUUCACCCAGUUCAAUUCUCUCUAUGUGCUACUGCUUGUUACGCCAGAUCCCCAGGUCCUGUGCCUGGCUCUACUAUUAACUCAUUAUAUUAUCUUGUGUGUAAUUCACAUUUCCUCAGUGUCUUAGUCUCCCCCCUGUAAAAUGGGGGUUUUUCCUUUCAGAGGCAUUGAGAAAAUUAAGGUCUAAUCCUCAGUUAACACUAUUUCUGGGAAUGGAUGGAGAGUGGUGCGCUUGAAGCCACCUUUGUCCCUGUAUUCUGGGAUCAUUGAGGAGCCUGUGUGGAUUGCAGUGUAAAUUACAGCAGCCUCGGGGCUACUUUGACAUAUACUCUGCUUUGCAUGGCCCCCUGUGGGCCCUGGGAAGAAGAAAAUAGCUUUAACAUGGUGGACUCUGGUCCUGCCUCCAGUCUGUCAUCUAUACUGAGCCAGUACAGAGUCUUUAUGCCAGCUAGGAAGGUCCCUGUGUAGGGGUGAUUCUCAGCGUGGGUUCUACCCAAUUUAAGGCCCCUUCACGCCUCCAGAGUGUUGCAAAGGGAAGUUAAUGUCCAUGACGCCCUUAGGUCCUGAAAGAGGCUGUGUACAAUCACAGCAUUAUUGGAGCUGGCUGAAAAGUGUGAAAAAAUACAUU